rnacentral:rRNA from 1 species
GACGAACCGGGCGAACGUUGUUCGGAAUAACUGGGCUUAAAGGGUGCGCAGGCGGGUCCGCCAGUCUGUGGUGAAAUCCUCCCGCUCAACGGGGGAAGUGCCGUGGAUACUGCGGACCUCGAGGAAGAUAGGGGCGUGCGGAACAGUUGGUGGAGCGGUGAAAUGCGUUGAUAUCAACCGGAACUCCGGUGGCGAAGGCGGCACGCUGGGUUUUUUCUGACGCUGAGGCACGAAAGCUAGGGGAGCAAACGGG